UUUCCGUAGGUGAACCUGCGGAAGGAUCAUUACCGAGUGAGGGCCCUCUGGGUCCAACCUCCCACCCGUGUCUAUCGUACCUUGUUGCUUCGGCGGGCCCGCCGUUUCGACGGCCGCCGGGGAGGCCUCGCGCCCCCGGGCCCGCGCCCGCCGAAGACCCCAACAUGAACGCUGUUCUGAAAGUAUGCAGUCUGAGUUGAUUAUCAUAAUCAGUUAAAACUUUCAACAACGGAUCUCUUGGUUCCGGCAUCGAUGAAGAACGCAGCGAAAUGCGAUAAGUAAUGUGAAUUGCAGAAUUCAGUGAAUCAUCGAGUCUUUGAACGCACAUUGCGCCCCCUGGUAUUCCGGGGGGCAUGCCUGUCCGAGCGUCAUUGCUGCCCUCAAGCACGGCUUGUGUGUUGGGCCCCGUCCCCUCCCCCGGGGACGGGCCCGAAAGGCAGCGGCGGCACCGCGUCCGAUCCUCGAGCGUAUGGGGCUUUGUCACCCGCUCUGUAGGCCCGGCCGGCGCCAGCCGACACCCAACUUUUAUUUCUAAGGUUGACCUCGGAUCAGGUAGGGAUACCCGCUGAACUUAAGCAUAUCAAUAAGCGGAGGA
rnacentral:rRNA from 1 species